rnacentral:rRNA from 1 species
UAGNGUAGCGGUGAAAUGCGUAGAUAUUAGGAAGAACACCAGUGGCGAAGGCGACUUUCUGGACGAAAACUGACGCUGAGGCGCGAAAGCCAGGGGAGCGAACGGGAUUAGAUACCCCGGUAGUCCUGNCCGUAAACGAUGGGUACUAGGUGUAGGAGGUAUCGACNCCUUCUGUGCCGGAGUUAACGCAAUAAGUACCCCGCCUGGGGAGUACGACCGCAAGGUUGAAACUCAAAGGAAUUGACGGGGGCCCGCACAAGCGGUGGAGUAUGUGGUUUAAUUCGACGCAACGCGAAGAACCUUACCAGGUCUUGACAUUGAUGGACAGAACCAGAGAUGGUUCCUCUUCUUCGGAAGCCAGAAAACAGGUGGUGCACGGUUGUCGUCAGCUCGUGUUGUGAGAUGUUGGGUUAAGUCCCGCAACGAGCGCAACCCCUAUCUUAUGUUGCCAGCACUUUGGGUGGGGACUCAUGAGAGACUGCCGCAGACAAUGCGGAGGAAGGCGGGGAUGACGUCAAAUCAUCAUGCCCCUUAUGACCUGGGCUACACACGUACUACAAUGGGAGUUAAUAGACGGAAGCGAGAUCGCGAGAUGGAGCAAACCCGAGAAACACUCUNUCAGUUCGGAUCGUAGGCUGCAACUCGCNUACGUGAAGUCGGAAUCGCUAGUAAUCGCAGGUCAGCAUACUGCGGUGAAUACGUUCCCGGGCCUUGUAC